rnacentral:ncRNA from 1 species
GGCUCGAUUGUAUUUUUAAAUUAAUUCUUAAAAACUACAAAUCGAGCC